rnacentral:rRNA from 1 species
UACGGGGGGGGCAAGCGUUGUUCGGAAUUACUGGGCGUAAAGGGCUCGUAGGCGGCCAACUAAGUCAGACGUGAAAUCCCUCGGCUUAACCGGGGAACUGCGUCUGAUACUGGAUGGCUAGAGUUUGGGAGGGGGAUGCGGAAUUCCAGGUGUAGCGGUGAAAUGCGUAGAUAUCUGGAGGAACACCGGUGGCGAAGGCGGCAUCCUGGACCAACACUGACGCUGAGGAGCGAAAGCCAGGGGAGCAAACGGG